UACAGAGGGUGCGAGCGUUAAUCGGAAUUACUGGGCGUAAAGCGUGCGUAGACGGUCAUGUAAGUCGGGUGUGAAAGCCCCGGGCUCAACCUGGGAAUUGCAUUCGAGACUGCAUGGCUAGGAUGCGGAAGAGGGAAGCGGAAUUUCCGGUGUAGCGGUGAAAUGCGUAGAUAUCUGGAGGAACACCGGUGGCGAAGGCGGCAUUCUGGACCGAUAUUGACGCUGAGGAGCGAAAGCCAGGGGAGCAAACGGG
rnacentral:rRNA from 1 species